UUUGAUGUGUAAACUUGCUCAGGGUGUGACCUGACGCAACCUUUAUUAAUGUUCUUAUUACUAUCUAGCAACAUAUAACAUUAUAUCUGACAACAUUACAAGUUUUGGCAACAUAAGAUUACAUAAAUAUCGAUAACAAUGUGGUAUUUAUUACAAUUAAUUAAAAUUUUUUUUUUUUUUCUUGCUUUAAUUUAAUUUUAUUUUAAGAUUAAGCUCAGGUUAGCCCGCUCGGCCGAGUGGCUGCUGGUCCGGCCACCGAGGAUGCGUUGCCUGUGGAUUGGCUCGAUCAACCGAGUGGCUGCUGGUCCGGCCACCCGGGAUGCGUAUGGGUCUGGAGGAUGUUUUGACUUUUGAUGUGCGGAGAAUUUGGUUUGCUGCCGAUUUGGU
rnacentral:sRNA from 15 species